rnacentral:antisense_RNA from 1 species
AGCCUCCCCGAGUAGCUGGGAUUACAGGCGACUACCGCCACCACGCCCGGCUAAUUUUUUAAGUAUUUUUAGUAGAGACGGGGUUUCACCGCGUUAGCCAGCAUGGUCUUGAUCUCCUGACCUCGUGAUCCGCCCGCCUCGGCCUCCCAAAGUGCUGGGAUUACAGGCGUGAGCCACCGCGCCCGGCCGACCCCUGUAGGGUUUUAAAGGAGAGAGGCGGCAUCCCAGAGGGCAAAAAGGGCUUCAUUCACGGAGAAAGCAACUGAGCUGGGCAGAGCACAGACGGAAUUUGAAUUGGAGGCCAGAGGCAAAGGGAACUCCAAGUGGAAGAAGAAGAAAUGGCAUGAACAAAGGGAUUGAGAAGGAAAAGGACAAUAUGGUUUGGAGAGAGAGCAACUUCAGCCUGGAAAAGCAGAAAUGAGAUGCGGCCAAGAAAAAGACUCCAGCCCAGCCUGCCUUGGUUCUAACUCUGACUGUUACUUAACCUCUUUCUGGCUCAGUCAAGAAACUUGAGCACUGCAAGAUGAUCAUGCGGAAUACCUACUUCAAAAGGAUGUUAAGAGGAAUAAAAAUGUUCUUGUUUCUAAGUGCUUGAAAUGUAGCUGGCAUAUAAUUAAGCUAUACAAAUGUUUACUUUUUUUUUGAAAUGCUGAGUUUACUGAUCACUCUAAUUUUUAUGUAUGUGUGUCAUUACAGAAGAUUCAGGCUUUAGCGAUGACUGGAGGGUCAUUCGCUGGAAAGAAUUUCAUCAUUUGGAACUAAAUCAUGGUGAGCAAAAGAAAGUCUUCCUAAGUGAUAUGGUUUGACUCUGUGUCCCCAUCCAAAUCUCAUCCGAAUUCUAAUUCCCAAAAGUUGUGGGAGGGAGGUGAUUGGAUCAUGGAGGCAGGUCCCUCCAUGCUGUUCUGGUGAUAAUGAGUGAGUCCCCAAGAGAUCUGAUGAUUUUAUAAGGGGCUCUUUCCCCUUCACUUUCUCUUCUCUCUCCUGCUGCCUUGUGAAGCAGGUGCCUGCUUCGCCUUCUGCCAUGAUUGUGUUUCCUGAGGCUUCCCCAGCCAUGCAGAACUUAGUGCCUCACUUUGGAGUCGGCUGAGAAGAUCAUUCCAGACGGGAGUUUUGACACUGUACCAAUGCACUGUCUUCACAUCUACACUGACACCGCUGCCUUUCUACCUGCAGGUGUCUGUGGCUUACAAGCUGGUGCCUCCCACAGACCCUGUAGUUUGGAGCUAAUGAAGAGCUGAGAAGCUACCAGGAUCUGCAACUUUUUGCCUGAGGGUCUUCUCAGAAGACACAGAAACUGCUCUGCCUAUAAGCCUUGAAGUGCCAGGGAAUUAACACCUACCUUCCCACAACCCUCUCCCCAAUGACUGAUAGCAUUGAUAACAAUACCCCAGCUUCACCCCUCAGGUGGGAUAACUGAGCUGCUUGUUCUAUACCAUGUUAUAGAGUUUCUCCCAUGAGUUUAGGUUCUAAUCAUCCACAUGCAAAUUGCUUGAUAAGAAACCUUCAUUGACUCCUUGUCUCACUUCCCCUUCCCUUAUUUGUUUCAUUUGCACCUUUCAAAUAAACUAUUUUCAUUCAAA